UGGGGAAUUUUCCGCAAUGGGCGAAAGCCUGACGGAGCAACGCCGCGUGAGGGAUGAAGGCCUCUGGGCUGUAAACCUCUUUUCUCAAGGAAGAAGAUCUGACGGUACUUGAGGAAUAAGCCACGGCUAAUUCCGUGCUAGCAGCCGCGGUAAUACGGGAGUGGCAAGCGUUAUCCGGAAUUAUUGGGCGUAAAGCGUCCGCAGGCGGCCUCGUAAGUCUGUCGUUAAAGCGUGGAGCUUAACUCCAUUUCAGCGAUGGAAACUGCGAGGCUAGAGUGUGGUAGGGGCAGAGGGAAUUCCCGGUGUAGCGGUGAAAUGCGUAGAUAUCGGGAAGAACACCAGUGGCGAAGGCGCUCUGCUGGGCCAUAACUGACGCUCAUGGACGAAAGCCAGGGGAGCGAAAGGGAUUAGAUACCCCUGUAGUC
rnacentral:rRNA from 1 species